GCCUAGGGUAGAGGCGCUGUGAUUAAGAGUAUAUAUCUGGAAUCUUGCAAGAUGUAGAUGGGUAUAGAAAGGAGUCAUGGCCGAAGGUCAAAAAUGUUGCAGAUUUUUGGUCUGGCCAUGCAUAAAAUAUAUGCAUGGCUGUCACUUAUUUAAGUGGAGAACUACAGGGUCA
rnacentral:ncRNA from 2 species